rnacentral:tRNA from 1 species
GUGGGUAUAGCUCAGUGGUAGAGCACAUGCUUAUCAUGCAUGAGGCCAUGGGUUUAAUCCCCAGUACCUCCA